GUGCUCACUUUAGCAGCACAUGUACCACAAUUGGAACGAUACAGAGAAGACUAGCGUGGCCCCUGUGCAAGGAUGACUUGCAAAUUCAUGAAGCAUUCCAUAUUUAA